rnacentral:sRNA from 1 species
GCUGGGCAAGGUUGUGCAUGCCUGCAAUCCCAGCGGCUUGGGAGGCUGAGGCGGGAAAAUCACAAGUCAAAGCAAGGCACUAAGCAACUCAGUGAGAACCUGUCUCUA